UGUCUUCUAAAGAAAAGCACUCAUUGAAGUGUCUCCAUACUCCUUCCUGGUCAUAAAUGGAGCACUAUUCAUUACCAGAAUGGAGCUGAGUCAGAUCUAAGUGCUCAGGGUGUUGGUCGUCCUGAGCAGUGAUAUUAAUACAGCAGGAAUCGUCUCCAGUCGGAUCAGAGCCGCUCACUCAUCGCUCAGAGUCAUGAUCCUCAAGCUCAUCUACUUCUUGCUCCCCCUCAUAGGUGAAAAUACCUCCAGUUCAGAGGCGCAGGAGCGUCACGGUGAUCAAAAAAAGUCCAACUACGCCUCUAAAGACAUGCCAGGUUCCUUUUCUGUGACGGACGGAAAUGUUACGUCGGAUGAAUCAGAAUUUGACGAGGCGUCCAAUCAGAGCGCUGAAGAAAAUU